CCUACGGGAGGCAGCAGUGAGGAAUAUUGGUCAAUGGGCGAGAGCCUGAACCAGCCAAGUCGCGUGAAGGAUGAAUGCCCUACGGUUUGUAAACUUCUUUUAUAAGGGAAUAAAGUGAGGCACGUGUUCCUUUUUGUAUGUACUUUAUGAAUAAGGAUCGGCUAACUCCGUGCCAGCAGCCGCGGUAAUACGGAGGAUCCGAGCGUUAUCCGGAUUUAUUGGGUUUAAAGGGAGCGUAGAUGGGUUGUUAAGUCAGUGGUGAAAGUUUGCGGAUCAACCGUAAAAUUGCAAUUGAUACUGGUAGUCUUGAGUACAGUUGAGGUAGGCGGAAUUCGUGGUGUAGCGGUGAAAUGCUUAGAUAUCACGCAGAACCCCGAUUGCGAAGGCAGCUUACUAAACUGUGACUGACAUUGAUGCUCGAAAGUGUGGGUAUCAAACAGGAUUAGAUACCCUAGUAGUC
rnacentral:rRNA from 1 species